AGUUUGAUCCUGGCUCAGAAUCAACGCUGGCGGCGUGCCUCAGACAUGCAAGUCGAACGCGAAAGCUCCCUUCGGGGAGCAAGUAGAGUGGCGCACGGGUGAGUAACACGUAGGUAAUCUACCUUUGGAUGGGGAAUAACAACCGGAAACGGUUGCUAAUACCGCAUAAUGCAGCGGCACCUAAUGGUGACAGUUGUUAAAGCGGGGGAUCGCAAGACCUCGCGUCUGAAGAGGAGCCUGCGGCGGAUUAGCUAGUUGGUAAGGUAACGGCUUACCAAGGCGAUGAUCCGUAGCCGGCCUGAGAGGGCGGUCGGCCACACUGACACUGACAUACGGGUCAGACUCCUACGGGAGGCAGCAGUCGGGAAUUUUGGGCAAUGGGCGAAAGCCUGACCCAGCAACGCCGCGUGAAGGAUGAAAUCCCUCGGGAUGUAAACUUCGCAAGAACGGGAAGAAUAAGCCGGUGUUAACACCACCGGUGAUGACGGUACUGUUUGUAAGCUCCGGCUAACUCCGUGCCAGCAGCCGCGGUAAUACGGGGGGAGCAAGCGUUGUUCGGAUUUACUGGGCGUAAAGGGCGCGUAGGCGGCCUCUGCAAGUCGACUGUGAAAUCUCCGGGCUUAACCCGGAACGGUCAGCCGAUACUGCAGGGCUAGAGUGCAGAAGGGGCAACUGGAAUUCUCGGUGUAGCGGUGAAAUGCGUAGAUAUCGAGAGGAACACCUGCGGCGAAGGCGGGUUGCUGGGCUGACACUGACGCUGAUGCGCGAAAGCUAGGGGAGCGAACGGGAUUAGAUACCCCGGUAGUCCUAGCCUUAAACGAUGAAUGCUUGGUGUCUAGGGUUUUAUAGUCCCCGGGUGCCGUCGCUAACGCUUUAAGCAUUCCGCCUGGGGAGUACGGUCGCAAGACUGAAACUCAAAUGAAUUGACGG
rnacentral:rRNA from 1 species